AGUAAUACAUCGGAACGUGUCUUCUAGUGGGGGAUAACUGCCCGAAAGGGCAGCUAAUACCGCAUGAGACUGAGGGUGAAAGCGGGGGAUCGCAAGACCUCGCGCUGGAAGAGCGGCCGAUGUCCGAUUAGCUAGUUGGUGAGGUAAAGGCUCACCAAGGCGACGAUCGGUAGCUGGUCUGAGAGGACGACCAGCCACACUGGGACUGAGACACGGCCCAG
rnacentral:rRNA from 1 species